rnacentral:lncRNA from 1 species
GAAAAGAGCUUCAUUAGCAUAUUUGUCAAGCAGAUGUGAAAUGAGGCAGAAAACUACUAGAACAAUUGGAGAAAUCUAGAAUAUGAAGUUCCAGCACAAACUUAGAUGGCUUCUAACUAUGUGAAGGUUUGAACAGCAGCUUCUGACAUAGAAAAUAACCACAGCAAAAAGAAGCACUAACAAGUGACAGAUGUGGUUGACUCAUCUCCUUCUCCCUUCGACUCUCUAAUGAGCAAUUAAAUAGCCUGAAACAGAACAAUCAAGAGGUCUGGCAAAUCCACACACUAGAUGAUGAAGAAAUGUACAUCCAAGGAAAAUCAAACCAAGUAAAGGAGGAAAAACUUUGAGUUCUGCUUAAGGUCUAGGACUUCCUAAGGCUCAUUCCAGCUCCUCCAGAUGAAGGCAUUUUCUAA